rnacentral:lncRNA from 1 species
UUAAGAAGAGUGAUAGGAGUAGGGGCAACGACAUGAUCACCGCACCAUAUAACAUAAAAUCAUGAGAAGUUCAUUGUACCCCUUGAUACGAUUGAUUGUAAAUAUAUGACAUAUGUCUAAGAGGAAGUUUUUGCACCUAAUACUACCAUUGAUUAAGAUUAUAUAGUAUAUGAUCUUGAGGAGGUGAUUAAGUCACAUGCAUCAUCUCUUCCUAAUGUUGUUGCAGUUGAUUGUAAAUGUAUGACAUAUGAUCGUAAUGAGGCCUUUGAGUUACUGCCCCAUGUCCUGCUGUUGUUUUUUUUGGUGCAAGAGGUGAUUGUUAAUGUAUGGCAUAUGACCAUAACAAGGCCGUUGAGUCACCUGCAUAGUCUCUUGUUGUUUCUGUUGUAGUUGAUUAUUAUAUCGCAAACACUUGAAGGUCUUAAUGUGAUGUUUUGAUGAGCUAUUCUAUUUGUUGGUGGCUACAAUAUUUUUUGAAAAAUUGAGAAAGGAAUUGGUGAGGAUAUUCAAAAAUCACAAUAUCACAUAAAAGGCACCUAAAUGCAUCAAAAAUCAUGCCAAUCACCCCAUACCCUAGAAAUACCAUAAUGCAUCUUGGGGAGGGUUGAAAUAGUUAAAUCACAUUGAAAUUCAAAUUUCACUUAUUUCAUCAAAUUUUAGGCCGUUACAUCGAGUUACCAGACAUACCUUCAUAAGGACCAAAAAACCAUCUAACACAAGUCUAUGAAAUCUCUAUUAAAUUGAAAACAAUAUCUGUCUAAAAUUGAGACAAGUCCCCCAAUCAGACCAUAAACUAAUAUUGAAUGAAAAUAUUAUAUGAAACAAGGCCUUUUGAAAUAAGGGAGGCUCACCAACUUCAACAGUCUAACAAUGAUCUACUGCUUAGCGGGACCCUGGGAUAGAGCCUCAGAUCAUGAAAUAAAAGGGGACAAUACAAAUGUACUGGUAUGUGAAACAAUAAAAAAUAAUCAUACUUUAUACAACAUAGGUAAGAGCAUUUCAUAAAACAUUUAACAUGAGGUAACUGAAAACACAUGGGUAUAACUUAAAAGUUUUCAGAUGUUUUCUUGAAAUCAUGACUCAACUUAUCAUAUUUCUUUUGAGGUAGAUGGUACACCCUACAAACGUACUUAUCCAUGAGCUUUAUGGACUCCUUCCUUAACUCAGCAGCCAAGCCCCCAAUCCAAGUUUGCCGCAAGGAUUGGGGUCUGUCAUUCGUACUACGCCAUAAGGCCAUCGCCAGCGUACAAUCCCUAGUAUAGAACAUUAUAAACCCUUAUCGAUAAAACACAAUUUUGGGUUAAGAGUUAUCUGAACUCAAGCAUUCUCCGAUUAACCAAGUUGCUCUCUUUAAGAUAAAUUUUAAUCCUUUAAUACCAUACUUCAUGCUUUUAAAAUAUUCCAUACUUAAUAUGCUAAGGGCAUAUCCUCACAGAGUAUCAUCAUACCCAGUCUUGCAAGCCAUAUCAUAUCAUGUUAUAAUUCAUAGUCCUUUUUCUUAAAAGAAGUCAUAUAGUCGACCACUCCCAAUGAUUUAAAUAUUUCAUAAGAACUUGGUUAAUUCAAACGCAUGUAGACGUAUACAAAACAUUUUCUUUGGAAACACAUUAUCAUGUGGUGGCCAAUCUUUCCUUUGAAGAUAUGCUUUUCUUUCUAUCAACAUAAUGGACUUUUGUAUAUAAGGAGAUUUUUCCUUCUCAUCUUGUCAGAAACCAUGUCAACCACAAUAAUGUUAAGGAACUUACUUCAAAAACCCUUGUUCAUGAAUUUGAAAUAACCCGUAAUACAAAUAAACAUUAUAUUUCAAAUCAAGAGAGGGAAUUCAUAGUUCAUGCUCUUAAUUAAACUUUCCCAAACUAAAAAUGUAUAUACAUAAGGGGCUAUAAUUCAAUUCCACAAAGAGAAUUCAAUACAAUAUGUAUACAUUCAUCAAAACGAUUCCAUGUAAUGCUUUUUGAAACAAUAUAAAAAUACUUCUUUGUAACAUGAUUAUAAAUCCUUAAACAUUGAUUAAAACCAACAAAAUUUUAUUCCCAUGGAGUUUAGGAUAGUCGCACAUCCCAUAAGUUCUUAAUUUGAAGAGUGAAACCCUAAUCUUGAUCUUUAGGGUUGAGGGAAGGGUUUUCUUUGAGAGUAUUUUGGAGAGAAUGGGCAAUAUUUUCCCUAAUUAACGAUAUAAUUCAUCCCUUUACGCAUUGGAAUAAAAGGAAAAUACUAUAUUGCCCUUCGGGCAAUUAAAUUCGUGAUUAGAACAUCGAUCACAAGGACACCGUGAUGUGGUGAUGGACUCACCAUUAUUCCACCACGACACACUACAAUUUCUGUGAGGUUCUAGAUUCUAAAUCCAAAUGCAACCCAACCUCUUUCGAAAAAUCUGAAACUUCCUUGAGACACGCCUCUUACACCCCUGAACAUGAAUCAACUCAAAAAUCUAUGUCUCAAGGUCGGGAAGACCAAUUUAAUAAUCUUUAAAGUUAAGAGGUUUCGAAUGUGACUAAGUCCUUUACACUUAGAAAUAUUUUCAGGCCUUAAACUCCCUAUGCAUGCAACUAAAGGCUGAAACAAGUCAAAAAUAUUAUGUGGUUUUACUUUAUCCCUCUCUUGGGAUCAUUCAUCCUCGAAUGAUAGCUCGGGACUUAAAUAAGCACGAUUUCAAGCACUAAAUGGAAAGAGAGAAAGAUUAUAAGAUUCGUACCUUCCAUAGCAUCAUCCAUGGUUUCAAAGAGAUUCGCGUAUCUAGUAUGUAUGUCAUCCUUCAACUCCCAAGUAGCUUUCACAGCUUUUUGAUUCCUCCACAAGACCUUAACCGAGGCUAUAUCCUUACUUCUCAACUUAUGAACUUGAUGAUUUAAAAUAGCAAUUAGUUCUUCUUCGAAUGACAAUGAGUCCUUAACAUUUAUUUCUUCCACAGGCAAUACUAGAGAAUUAUCUCCAAUACAUUUCUUCAACAUCAGUACUUGAAAUACAAGAUGUAAAAAAGCCAGACUUAUAGGCAAAUCUUACUUAUAAGAACCUCAACUAAUCCUUCUUGUAAUCUGAUAUAGGCCUAUGUAACAAGGACUAAGCUUCCCUUUCUUUCCAAAUUGCAUGACUCCCUUCAUAGGGGAGACUUUUAGAAAUACCCAAUCAUCAACCCCAAAUUCCAACUCUCUUCUUCUAACAUUGACAUAGGACUUUUGGCAGUUCUGAGCUAUCUUAAGUCAUUCCCUAAUGAUUUUCACUUUCUCCAUUGCCUGAUGAACAAGGUCUGGCCUAAAUAACUGGGUUUCACCCACUUCAUACCACCUAAUCGGAGACCUAUAUCUCCUUCCAUAAAGGGCCUCAAAAAGAGCCAUUUGUAUACUGGAGUGAUAACUGUUAUUAUAGGUGAAUUCUAUCAACAUUAAGUGAUCCACCCAACUACCCAUAAAGUCAAUCAGGCAAGCCCUCAACAUAUCUUCUAAGUUCUAAAUGGUGUGUUCCACUUUCCCAUCUCUUUGAGGGUGAAAGGUAGUAUUAAGGUUUACUUAGGUACCUAAACCCCUCUUAAAAGACCGCCAAAACUGAGAAGAAACUUGUGUACCUCGAUUAGAUGUAAUAAACAUAGGAUCCCCAUGCAACCAAACUAUUUAUUGAAUGUACAACUUAGCAUAGUCAUCCCUUGAAUAAUUUGCCUGUACUAGAAAGGAAUGGGUAGAAUUAGUCUUCCUGCCUAAAAUCACCCAAAAGGAGUCAUAUUGGUUUCAGGACCUCGAAAGUCCCGUAAUGAAAUAUAGGUUCAUUAUUUCCCAUUUCCACAUAUGCAAAGUUAUCUCUUGGGAAGUGCCACCUGUCCUCAAAUCUUCUACUUUAACUUGUUGAAAUUUAAACACUUAGAUACAAAGUUAGCAACAGCUCUUUUCAUAUUAUUCCACCAGUAAAUGGCCUUAAGAUCGUGGUAUAUUUUAGUAGAGCUAGUGUGAAAAAUAUACCUAGAAGUGUGAGCUUUAUCAAGAAUUCUAUCUCGCAACCCAUCUAUAUCCGACAUAUAUAGACUACCUUGGUACCUUAAAAUCCUAUCACCUCCGAUUUCAAAUGCCAUCACUUUUUGUUGCCCAACCUCUUCCUUGAUCUGUAUCAAAAUGGGAUCUCUAAUUUGUUUUUCCUUAACCUCAACACAUAAGGGGGAUGAUUUAGCUACCUCAUGAAUGAAUACCCCUCCAUCUUCAGAAUCCAGGAGUCAAACUCUAAAAUUUGCAAGCCGAUGAAUAUCUUUCACCAUAUUCUCUUUCCUUCCUCCACAUGAGAAAAACUGCCAAUUGACAGUCUACUAAGGGCGUCGACCACCAUAUUGGCCUUAACCAGAUGAUAAUGCCGGAUCAUAUUAUAAUCCUUCAACAAUUUAAACCAUCGCCUCUACUUGAGAUUUAUCUUUUCCUAUGUAAAAACAUACUGCACACUUUUAUAAUCAGUAAAUAUAUCAACAUUCACUCCAUAAAGAUAAUAUCGCCAAAUCUUUAGUGGAAACACCACAACCGCUAAUUCUAAAUUAUGGAUGGGAUAAUUCUUUUUCAUGCAUCUUUAGCUGUCUAGAUGCGUAAGCCACCACCUUACUAUGCUACAUAAGUACACACCCAAGUCCUACUCAGGACGUAUCAUAAUACACAAUAAAGCCCUCUAUACCCUCAGGUAGAGUCAAAAUGGGUGUAGUAGUUAACUUUUCUUUUAGUUACUCAAAACUAUUCUCGCAAGAGUCAGACUACAAGACUUUCACAUUUUUUCUAAGUCAAUCUAGUAAGUGGAGCAACUAUGGAGUAAAAACUCUCUACAAACCUUCUGUAAUACCUUGCCAAACCCAAGAAGCUCUAAAUAUCAGUUGGAUUUAUGAGUCUGGGCCAUUUUCUCACUGCCUUAACCUUUUGGGGGUCAACUUUAAUUCCCUUACUAGAAAAAAUGAGCCCCGAGAAAUAAAUAGAAUUAAGCCAGAAUUCACACUUGGAAAACUUUGCAUACAACUCAUGAUCCUUGAGGGUCUGAAGGAUGAUUUGGAGGUGAUUGGUAUGAUCCUCCUCACUUUUUGAGUAAAUCAAGAUAUCAUUGAUAAAGACUAUGAUAAAAAAAUAUAAAAACUAGCUAAAACACCCUAUUCAUUAGGUCCAUAAAAGCUGUGGGGGAAUUAGUCAAUCCUAAGGACAUAACUAAGAAUUCAUAGUGACCAUAUCAGGUUCGGAAGGCUAUUUUAGGAAUAUCAGCCUCCCAAACAGUCAACUGGUGAUACCCCAAAUAAAGGUAUAUUUUGGAAAAACAUUUGGUACCCUAAAGUUGGUAAAAAAUAUCAUCAAUUCUGGGAAGAGGGUAUUUAUUCUUUACUGUAACUUUGUUCAGCUGACAAUAAUUUAUACACAUACGGAAGGAGCCAUCUUUCUUAUGUACAAAAAGUGCAGGAGAACCCUAGGGUGAGACACUAAGAUGAAUAAAGCGUUUGCCAAGAAGGUUUUUAACUAUUCUUUCAACUCUUUCAAUUCUAUAGGAGCCAUUCUGUAUGGUGGAAUAGAAAUAGGACGGGUGUCUAACAACAAAUCAAUGUCAAAAUCUAUCUCCCUAUCAGGUGGCACCCUGGGAAGGUCAUCAGGAAAAACUUUUAGAAAUUCAUUAACUAUAGGGAUAGACUGGAGGGAAGGACUUUCAGUACUGGGAUCUUUGACCCAAAUAAAAUGGUAUAGACAACCCUUUAACAUAAUUUUAUGGGGUCUAAGAUAAGAUAUGAAUUUAUCCUAGGUGCAAGAGAAUGUCCCUCCCACUCUAUCACUAGCUCUUUUGGGAAUGAGAAAUUGACCUUUAUGGUCCUACAGUCUAACAUAGCAUAGCAUAAAUAUAGCCAAUUCAUUCCUAGUAUAGCAUCAAAAUCAAUCAUACCCAUCUCUGAAAGAUCAGACACAGUAUCACAAUGAAAACUAGACACCACACAAUUUCUAUAAACUCUCCUAGCCACAGUAAAGUCACCAACAGAAGUGAAAAUAGAAAAGGGUUCUGGAAUAUUUUUGGGCUCAAAAUUAAAAAUAACUUCCACAUAAGGGAUCACAUAAGAUAAGGUAGAACCGGGAUCAAGUAACACAUACACAUCACAGGAGAAAAUCUAUAACAUACCUAUAACAACAUCUGGCAAAGCGUCUGUAUUCUGGUAGUUGGAUAAGAGAUAUAACUGGUUGCCACCACCUCCAGUAGUAGAUUCAGAACCCUUCAGUGGACGGGAUGUGGAAUUUGUCUGAGUUCUAGUACCUUAGGUAUUCCCAAUGGCUAAGGGAUAAUACCUUUGCAUAUGGCCUGCCUUGCCACACUUGUAGCACACAUUACUCCUUAAAUAACAUUUCCUAGGAUGAUCUUUUCCACAAGAACUACAAUGAGGGUAUGACCUAGUGGGCUGGGCCACACUUUUCUGAGACUGUGUAACCUAUAUCUUUAUCCUGUUGUUCUACUAAGAGUUAUAAAUUGGCUGAUCGAUGAAAGGACUAGGAACUAGGGCACUAGCUGAGGACUGAGCAUUGCUCCAAAACUUCUUUUUAGACCACUAAUUACCCCAAUUGUCACCCUAAUAUUGAAUGAUAUUCUGAUCCACAAACCUAGCUCUCUUAGCUUGCCUUUUUUUUCCUUACCUCUACCUUCCUCUUUAUCUCCUCUUUUACUAGCUGCAUAUGCACUGAUAACCUAGAGAAAUCUAUGUCCUUGUUCACCAUUGCUCUCUUACAUUACAAUACCAAAUUAUCCGAGAGACCACAUGAAAAAUUUCUCAUACGAGCUAUUAUGUUACCCACUAACUCUAGAGCAUAACGAGAUAGCUGGGUGAACUUCAAUGCAUACUCUUUAAUACUCAUCUUUCCUAUCUUUAGAUUCACAAUUUUUUUAGCUUUUGCCUUUCUUAGUUCCUACGGAAAGAAAUGGUCCANNNNNNNNNNAGGGAAAGAAAUGGUCCAGGAAUGCUGCUACAAACUCACUCCACACAGAAGGUUUAGCAUCACCACCCUUCAAUUCCUCCCACUUAUUAUACCACAGAUUAGCUACGUCCUUCAACUGAUAGGCUACAAACUUAACCCCUUUAACUUAAUUAGCAUGCAUAACUAUAAACAAUUUCUCUAUUUUAUCAAUGAACCAUUGGGGUUCUUCCUCAACCUCUGUGCCAGUAAAAGUGGGUGGGUUUAGCCUUAUGAAUUCGCCAACCUGAGUAAGUCUAGAUGAACCAGACACAGAACCCACGUCUUUAGACCAACGGGUCUGAGAGGCCACAAACUCAGCAAUCAUAUGGAUGGACUAUCGAAACUCAGCAUUUGAGACUUUUCUAUGAGAAGGCUAGGGAUGGUUAACACCGGCCUGUGAAUCCCAAGGUAGACUAAUUAGGAUCAGAGGAACUCCUAGAGUAGCAACAAACUCUAGAGUAUGAUCUCUAUUAUAACUCUGCAUCCCAUGAAUAGCGGACAACCUCAACUUGGGUAUUCUGUUCAUUAGAUCUAUAGUGAGGCAUGAUCAAUCUUUGAAAUAUAGGAAAUCAUUUAUUAGAGGACAUUCAAACUCUAAGGCACAAACUAGAUCAUGAAGAAAAAGAGAGAUUCCUAAAGGCUUAGUAGUUUUCUCCUUAUAAGUGUGGUGCGCUAUACACCCAUAAAAAAACCUCUACCUUACUCAACUUCAAAGACACCCUAGGACCAUGAACCGUACUUUAAUAUAAUAUUUUUCACAACCCAGAUCGAUGCCCUAGACGUGACUGGAAUCUCAAACUGUGAAGGCCUGAGAGCCCACUUUAACUGGCAAUCAUAUUCGUAAUUCAUAAAUAAUCAAAAUGUAGAGGUAAAAUGAAAUCAUAAUCAUCUUAUCAUUUUAAUUAAAUACUACAAACAAACAUUGAUAAGGACCCAAAAACAAUCUAACAUAAGUCUGUAAAAUCUCUAUUAAAUUGAAAAUAAUAUUUGUCUAAAACUGAGAUAAGGCCCUCAGUUAGCCUAUGAACUAAAAUUGAAUAAAAAUAUUAUAUGAAAUAAUGCCUUCCAAAAUAAGGGAGGUUCACAAAAUUCAACUUUCUAACAAUGAUCUACUACUUCGCGGGACCCUGGGACUGAGCCUCAGAUCCUGAAAUAUGGGGGGUCAAUACAAAUGUACUGGUAUCUGAAACAAUCCAAAAUAGCCAUACUUUAUACAACAUAUGUGAGAGCAUUUCAUAAAAUAUUUAACAUGUGGUAAAUGAAAACACAUGGGCAUAACUUAAAAGUUUCAAAUGUUUUCUUGAAAUCAUGACUCUACUCUUCAUAUUUCUUAUGAGCUAGAUGGUACGCCUUAAAAACGUACUUAUCUAUGAGCUAUAUGGACUCUACCCUUAACUAGGAGACAAAUCCCCUAUCCAAGUUUGCCACAAGGAUUGGGGUCUAUCAUUCAUACUACGCCAUAAGGCCAUCUCAAGUGUAUAAUCCCUAGUGUAAGACAUCAUAAACCCAUAUUGGAAAAACAUAAUUUUGGGCUAAGAGUUAUCUAAAUUGAAGACAUCUUUGGGUAACCAACUAACUCUCUUUAAUCCUAAUUUUAGUCCUUUAAGACCAUACUUCAUGCUUUUAAAACAUUUCAUACUUAAUCUUCUAAGGGCAUAUCAUCAGCGGGUAUCGUAAUACACAGACUUGCAUGCUAUAUCGUAUCAUGUCAUAAUUCAUAGCCUUUUUUUUAAAAAAAAGAAGUCAUAUAGACGGCCACUCCUAAAGAUUUAAAUAUUUCAUAAGAACAUGCUUAAUUCAAACACAUGUAGACGUAUACAAAAUAUUUUCUUUGGAAACACAUUAUUAUAUGGUGGCUAAUCUUACUUUUGAAACAUGCUUUUCUUUCUAUCAACAUAAUAGACUUUUGUAAAUAAGGAGAUUUUUCCCUCUCUUCAUGUCAUAAAAUAUGUCAACCACAAUAAUGUUAAGGAACUUACUUCCAAAAUCCUUGUUCAUGCAUUCAAAAUAACAUGCAAUACAAAUAGACAUUAUAUUUCAUAUAAAGAGAGGGAAUUUAUAGUUCAUGCUCUCAAUUAAACUUUGCAAAACUGAAAACGUAUAUACAUAAGGGGAUACAAUUCAAUUCCAUGAAAACAAUUUAAUACAAUAUGUAUAAUUUCAUAAAAAACGACUCCAUUACAUGCAUGCUUUUUGAAACAAUAUCAAAAUCCUUCUUUUUAACAUGAUUAUAAAUCCUUAAACAUUUAUAAAAACUGUCAAAAUUUUAUACCCAUGGAGUUUAGAAUAGCCCCACAUACCUUAAGUACUUAGUUUGAAGAGUGAAACCCUAAUACUAAAACUUUUCUUAAGAAUUUUGAGCUUAAGAGGAUUGAAUUCUUGAUCUUUAGAGGAGAGGAAAGGGUUUGCUUUGAGAAUAAUUUGGAGAGAAUGGGCAAUAUUUUCCUUUACUGAUGACAUAAUUCAUUUCUUUAUGCAAUAGAAUAAGCAAAAAAGACCAUUUUGCCCUUUGGGCAAUUAAAUUUGCAACUGGAAUGUUGAUCACAAGUCUACAGCAAUGUGGUGAUGGCCUCACGUCUAUUCUACCGCAACGCACCAUAAUCACAGUAAGGUUCUAGAUUUAAAAUCCAAACGCGACCCAAUCCUCAUUCAAAAAAUUUGAAACUUCCAUGAGAUAUGCCCUUUACACCCCCUGAACAUGAACAAACUACAAAAUCAAAAUCUUGGGGUCGGGAAGACUAAUUUUAAAAUCUUCAAAGUUAAGAUGUUUGGAAUGUGACUAAGUCUCCAACACUUAGAAAAAUUUUCAGGCCUUAAAUUCCCUAUGCAUGCAACUAAUGGCUGAAAUAAGUUAAAAAUAUUAUGGGGUGUUACAGAUUAAGAAGAAGAGUUGUAGGUGUAGUUGCAUCAAUAUGAGUCACCACACCAUAUGACAUAUGAUCAUGAGGAGGUUGUUGUGCCUAUUGAUAUAGUUGAUUGUUAAUAUACGAUAUAUUUCUAUGUAGAGGUUUUAACCCCUACUACUAUGGUUGAUUGAAAAUAUAUGAUAUAUGAUCAUGAAGAGGUUACUGAGUCACCUAUACAAUCUUCUCAUAAUGUUGUUGUGGUUGAUUGUUAAUGUAUCAUAUAUGAUUGUAAUGCGGUUUUUGUGUCACAUGUACCAUCUAUUGCGGUUGUUUUUGUCAUUACAAUGAGUGAUUAUGAUGUAUGAAAUACCACCAUAAUGAGUUUGUUAAGUCACCUACACAAUCUCUUUUUACUUCUACUAUAGUUGAUUUUUAUAUCGCAAAUGACCAUGAGGUUGGGGUGGCACCCUAUGCGACGAGUUAACAAAUGACCAUGGAUAGACAAGAAGUCUACAAGUCCUCUAUAUAAUUGGAUUCCUUAGUGUAGGCCUUGAUUGAAAAUUAAACAGAUAAUUAUUAAGGUCGGAGAGGUAAGAACAUAGAAUGAAAAACUUAGGAUGGGGCACAAAUCUUAUUAAAUUAUCCUAAAAUAUGUGUUUGCAUUGCUGUCAGGAGAGUCCUUAAUAUUAGGUAAACACCUGUCAUGACCCAAGACUACCCCUAGCAAUAACAUGGUGCUCAAAGUCACAAGUGAUCCUAAGAUAACCAAUGGCCUGGCAAAAUACUAAGAAUACAGAUGAAAAGAAUGAGAUACUAAAUGGAAACUAAACUGAAAUGACCUAAUUAUCAAAAAAUUAAAAUCAGUACUGGAUAUCAAAAUGAUAAUUUUCUGACAUAAUCAACAUGCUUAAAACAUUACUAUCUAUCUAAUAGCCUCUAAAUCAUAUGAGUUGUUGGGACAAGAUAAAAUUCAAGAAGGGGGGAGGGGGUUGAAUUGAAACUUUUUCUGAUUUGAUUGGUCAGGUUUGAUAGUAAACUCAUAUGUAAACAAAUAUAAUUGGAUAGAAUAGAUUUAAAGCUAAAUAUGUAAGCAAAUAAGUAAUUAAAAAAAGUAAUGACAUAAAUAUUUAACAUGUUUUGGAACGCCAAUGUGGUGCCUACUUCCAAUCCCCUUGGGUUUCAAGAGUUUACAUAGAGAUUCUAAAGUAGAGUUGGACUACAUAUAUAGCAAAUAAGUUCUAAAACUUAUCCUGAUAUUCAGAUCUUAUGACAUAGCCUCAAAUGGUAAGACUAAGUUGACUCAAUAAUUUCUUUUUGUAACUAUUAUAAGGAAAUGAGUACAAAGCUUUAUUAAGACUAAGAUUGAGAAACAAUAAGAAUUUCCUGUGAAGUUGAGUUCUUUCUUGAGUCUUUAGACUUCUCUAUUUAUAUUCUUCUGUUGAUGCUGCUACUUUGCUCCAUAAAAAAAUCUAAGGGAUUUUUUCUCAAUCAAGGAUUUUAUUUUGUUCCUUGAUUGAGGGUAAUAUGUCCAUAUCAGAUAAGUUCAUAUAUAAGAUGUUUCUUUCCUUUCAUCACAACCAUUCAUGUCCAUAUCAAAUAUGUCCAUGAAGAUGGUGUGAUUUCCUUUCUAUGCUUCUCCACGAUAUUGUGGAUUAUCUUUCUUGUAUUUUGGGAUCAGGGAGGAUCUUAAGAGAUCUUAUCUUGAUGUUGUAUCUUAGAUCAACUUUGACUUGUAGUGAGGGAUGCUCUUCCAAGUAUAUAUCCAUGAUGAUCUUUCAUGCCUUGAUUAUUCUUUUGGUAUAUUCUGCACAUUAGCUAUAGAUUAGUUUGUCAUUAUUAAAAUAUAUUACUUUGAUAUGGGAUGCUAACAAUAUCCCCCUUUUGAUAAUGAAAAACAUUAAACAUCAGUUGACUUCCCUGUUAAUAAAGUCAACUUGCUUCCCCUAUCUUGCUGACUCCGUGCCUUCAUCAAAACUCAGUCAACUGGAUCCCCCUUGGUUGUAGUCUUAGCUGAUGUGGAUCUUUACCCCCCUUUGACAUAAUCAAAAAGAUCUAACCAAACAAAAUAAUCAAAUAACAUUAGAAAAAAAUAUACAAAUAACCAUGCAAUGUUUAAAAAUAGAAAAGAAAUUCUAGCAGAACAAGUUAAAGAUAUUAGUUUAUAACCCCCAAAAUAUGGAAAGGGAUAGACCCCUUUUGGAUAGAAGUUUUUGAAUUCAUCAUUUGGCCAAAAGAUAGGUUAAGGUGUUUUGCAUGUUAUGAUAGAAAUGGUCAUAGGAUUUAUCUAAACUUUUGGUAAAGCUGGAGUAGGAAUUCUUGACAAAAAUUAUAAGCACAUUAUUGGAGGAAAUGGUCUCAGCUUUGAUGGUGUCCAUCUUUGCAAAAAGUCUAUUGAAUAACUUCGUACCUUUCUCUUUGAGACCAUCAAGUGAUAAGCACACCUUGCCCGUAUCAGUUCUUGUUUCCUCACUCAGCUGUAGCAACCUAGUAGUUGACUCUUGGAGAUCCACCAGUCCUUCAAUUGCCUUGAACGGAUCUUUAAGCUCCUUAAUCUACUUUAUUAUAGAGAUCAUAGGGUUAGACAUAGAUUUUCUUGGCAGACUCCUUUCCCCAUUCAUUAUCAACCAAGACAUAUCCCAUUCUUGCAAAAGUGUCGGAGUCAUAGGUGGAUGAAACUUCUACCACAAAUUAUUCAGAGAGAUGAAUUAAGUAUUGAAGGAGGAUUAUGGUAAUUAGAAAUCCAUAGGGUAAGUUGGAUGAGGAAUGAGUAUCUGCAGUACUCUCUAAUUUUUAUUCACUAAACCAGACAACCCAAUUGAUUUUGUGCCUCUUAACCAAAUAAUAUAGUACGAAUACAUCCCGACAAGUCAUGUUGCUGAGAGAACUUUUCCAAGGAAUUAGGGUGGUAAUGAUGAUGUGAGAAAAAAUUUUGUACUUAAAACUGAGAGACAAAGGACAAAAAUUGGAUACAUUUAUUUUGAGAUCAGAAAUAGCCUUCUUGGCCUCCUCGAAGGUAACCUUAAAAUUAUCAGGCCAAGAGCUAUUCAUGAAGGGAGUGACCCUAGAAACUUGGUGGCAAAAACUUUUAUGAACAAGAAGUCAUUUAGAAUAAUUCUUGUUCCCAGUACUAGAGUUUACAAUUUGUCACUGUCUUUGGACUGACGAAGAUUUGUAUAUAGCAUUCAAACAGGUUCUUCAAAAACAUCCAUACCACAUUGAUGAAAAACAAAUGGCAGAUCUUAGGCUUUAAAUAAAGAACUUACAUUGCAAUAGGAUUCCUUUAACUGAGAGAGAUUUAUAAUUCUUUUGGGCAUAAUAGAGCAACUUAUAAAAGUGAGAAACUUCUCCCUUUGAGUGAAAGUACAAAAUUUAUGCGUGUCCUCUGGUGAAAGACAUUCCAAAGGAGAGGGGCGACUUUUCUUAGUAGAGGAGUUAGGGUUGAGGGCAGAUUAUUUUUUAUGGAUAGUUGGUUAAUGGGAGUGGGAGGAGGCUUCGUUAGAGGACAUAGAGAUGACAAUUAGGUCAUGGUUAUGAGGGAGAAAAUUUGGAGAGGGUUAGAAAGAUUGUACAUUGAAUGAAUUUCGGUCAUUGAUAAAGAAGAUAGAGUGAGAGGGGUAUAAAAAAGGAGCGAGGGAAGAUAAAGCAAUAAAAGUUGAAGCAAAUAAAGCUAAGUGAGGUGACUAUUGAGAUGAAUGGAUGGUGGAUGUUUUGGGAAGUUAAAAAGGUGAAAAAUGGUAAUUAUAAGGAGAGAGAAAAGGGAGGCAUGAAAAGAUAUAGAUAAGCAAGGAAAAGAGGUUGUCAGAGGGGUCAAAUUAUGAACAAAAAUUUGUACAAAACAUUUUUUGCAACAAAUAAAUGGGUUUAAGAAUUUAAAGAUCGUUAAUUCAUAAUAUGCUGAGUUUUUUUCUUAAAAAAUAAAAUCUUUCUUCAAGAAAAGGUUUAGUAAAGAUAUUAGGAAGCUGAUUUUCAGAAUCAACAAAUUGUAAGAAAAAUCUGCACAUUCUACAUGAUCACGAAUGAAAUGAUCCUCAAUGUCUAUUUGCUUGGCCCUAGAAUAAUGCACCAUGUAUUUUGACAAACUAAUUGCACUGGUAUUAUCACAUAUGAUAGGAACAGAUUCAAAAGAUAAAUUAUGAUCAAGUAAUUAAUGCAUAAUCUAUAAGAUUUGAUAACCACAAUUACCAUUGGCUAUGUAUUCAGAUUCGACAGUUGAUAGAGGAAUGAAAGUUUGUUUCUUGGUAUGCCAUGAAAUUAGGGCAUCACCAAGAAUUUGACAUGUUCCACUCGUUCUCUUUUUAUCACUUGUUCCACCUGCAAAAUUAGCAUCUGAAUAGCCAACUAUGUCAAAGUUUGAGGAGCGAAAAUACCAAAGUCCAACAUCUUGAGUCCCGAUGAGAUAGCAAAUAAUUCUUUUUAUGGGAGUCAAGUAGGACUUUAUUGGAGACGACUGAAAACUUGCACAUUUACUCAUGCUGAACAUAAUGUAUGGUCGACUCAUAGUUAUGUAGAGUAGGGACCCAUUAUUCCUCUGUACAUCUUUUCAUCAACAUUCUUUUUGGAUAUAUCAAGAUCCAGGCUUAUUGAAGGACUCAUUGGAGCUACGAAAGGCUUUCCUUUUUCCAUUCAUAUUUUUUAUGAGAUCCCUAGUAUAGUUAGCUUGGCUAAUAAAUGUGCCUUUGGAGGAUUGUUUGAUCUAUAACCCUAAGAAGAAUGUCAGUUCUCCCAUGAGGCUUAUUUCAAACUCUCCUUUUAUUAGAUUUGGAAUAUUCUCGCACAAAGAAAUGUUAGAGCUCCCAAAAAUAAUAUCAUCAACGUAUAUUUUCUCAAUAAGUAAAUUAGAGUCCAAUUUUUGAGUAAAGAAAGUAGUAUCAAUUUUUUCUCUUUGAAAUUAUUUUUGAACAUAAAAGUACUCAACCUCUCAUACCAAGCUUUUGGAGUUUGUUUGAGACCAUAAAGUUCUUUUGAAAGUUUGAAAACAUGGUUUGGAUAAGAUGGAUCUUCAAAACUAGGGGAUUGUUUAGCAUAAACCUCUUCAUGAAUGUAGCCAUUCAGGAAAGCACUUUUUAUAUCUAUUUGAUAUAAUUUAAAAUAUUUGAAACAAGCAAAAGCUAAUAAGAUUCAAAUCUAUUCUAACCUUUCUACGAUGGAAAAGGUUUCAUCAUAGUUAAUACCUUCCUGUUAGGAGUGGCCUUAUGAUACCGGUCUGGACUUAUUUUGGAUCACCUUACCUACUUCGCUUAGUUUAUUUCUGUAGACCCAUCUGGUUUUGAGAACUAAACAGUUAUUCGGUAUUUCCACUAGACUCCACACUUGAUUACAUUCAAAAUAUUCUAAUACAUCCUUGAUGGAAUCAACCCAAGAUUUGUGUUUGCAGGAUUUAUUAACCUUUUGGUCCUUUUGGUGCUUAAUUUGAGUCACAAGAGCCGUAGAUACCUGUUUUCUUAAUGAAGCUCUUGUUUGCACCUUAUAAUCAAUAUUUCCAAUAAUGAAAUCAUUUGGGAAGCUAUAAUUAUGUAUCCAUUCUCUUAGUACAUUUGUUUUUGCUGUUUUAUUGAUGGCAACUGACUUUGGAUUAAUGGUAGUUGACUCAGAGGUCGGUGGAUCAGGAUUUAUGUUCAUUAUAGAUCCUUAUUAUGGAUCAUUUACCUGUUCUUCAUCAAUACUCAAGCUCAUAUAAGAGUUAUUAGUUUCAUCAAAUACAAUAUGUAUAGAUUCUUCAACACAUAGUGUUCGUUUAUUAUAAGCUAUAUAAGCAUGACUAGAGGGAGAGUAUCCAAAAAAAUACCUUCAUCACUUCCUGGGUCAAUCUUUCCUAAGUUAUUAUUAACAUUAUUAUGGAUGAAGAAUUUGUAUCUAAAGGGAUAAAGAUAACUACUAUUAGGAUUUUCCCUCUCCACAACUCAUAGGGAGUUUUCUUUAAAAUAGGUUCGAUGAGGCAUCUAUUGAGAGUAUGGCAAGCUGUACUUACUGCCUCUACCCAAAAAUGAUCUGGUAGAUUGUGUUACAGAAGCAUGGUUCUUUCAUUUCACUACCCCAUUCUAUUGAGGAGAUCGGGGAGAGGAAAAAUUCUGUGAGUAUCCAUUUUGAGAACAAUAUUCUUCAAAAGCCUUGUUUCUAAAUUCUCUACCAUGAUAAUUAUGAACAUAGGUAAUGAAGUGUCCUACUUUAGUAUGUAGUUUUCUACCAAAAAUCUCAAAAUUUGUGAAUGAUUCAUGCUUUUGAUCAAGAAACAUUAACCAAGUAAAACAAGAAUAGUCAUCAACAAUAAUAAAUACAUAUCUUUUUCCACUAAUAUUUGCAGCCUUGGUGGGUCCAAACAAAUCUAUGUGAAUUUUUUGGAGAGGUUUGGUAGUGGAGAUAAUAUCUUUGACUAAAUGAUGUCUGAUUCUAUUUGCCAAGUUGGCAAGCACCACAGAUGUGAUCCUUUUUAAACCUUAGUUUUGGAAGACCUUUCACUAGUUCAAGUCUGGAGAGUUUUUCAAUGGAAUGCAUGCAGUAUGCCCAAGUUUUAUGCGCCAAAACCAUGUGCCAUUGGUUUACCCAGUGAGACAAGUCAGAGUAGCAAAAUCGGGAUUAUUAAGAACAUAAAUAUUGUUAACACAUUUACUAAUAAGAGAGAUGUCUCUCUUUUCAUGUUUGAUGGAGCUACUCUCAACUUCUAAGUAUACUCCAAAUCCUGAGACAUAUAGUUUCCCUAUGCUAAAGAGGUUGUAUUUUAUCACAUCCAUGAUUUCACAGAAGUAGUUAAGCUUCACUGAGCCAACUCCAUUGACGUCACUUUUAGUAUUGUCUCCAAAUCUGAAUGAUCCUUCUUCAAUUUUCUUUAGAGAUUUUUUUUCUUUUUUCUUUGGUCAUGCAUCUGGAACAUCCGCAAUUGAUGACCCAUAUUCUUUUCUCAUAACUUUUAUAGAUUUGUUCCUUAUAAAUAAGAAGAUUAAUUUUGUUUAGGUACCCAAGUGGUCUUGGGUCCUUGAAUGUUGGAAGUGCUUCCCUUGGGUUGUCAAACCCACAUGCCUUUAGACCUUUGUCUGUAGCCAUGUGAUUUGAGCAUCUUUUAGCCGCAAGUGUAGUAGACUAGCUCUUGAAAACAUAAAUAGGUUUUAGCUGACUUAAAUGAACUUAACGAGGAGCUUGUUUUAGUUUUAAAGGAGUUUGACCUCAUGGAACUAUGCCUUGGUGAUUUUCUAAUUCUAUUUAACUACAUUUUUACGUCAUUAAGUUCUUCUUGAAGUAAGUCAAUUUCGAUUUGACAUGCUUCAAGUUAAAUUAGCAGUUUGUUUAUUCUUCUUCAAGAUUUUGUUUAAUCGAGCUUCCCAACUUUUUUUCUUGAGCAAGUUUAUUGUCUUCAUCAAUAAAUUUUAAGAGCUUAUUAAUAAUCAUAUAAAAAUUUGUUUCAAGAAUGUUGCAAUUAUGACAAUUGUAGGGUCUUAAUUCACUUGGUUCACCUUUUUCCAUGAAGCAUAUGUUGGAAGUUUUGGGCUCUUCUUCGGUUUUAUCUUUAUCACUCCACGCUCCAAAGUUUUCAUUUUUCAUGGAUAAUCUUCUUCUCAAUUAUGGACACUUCUAUUUAAUAUGUCCAAGUGUUUUACAAUAAUAAUAAUGAUCAUCAUUCCUUGUGAAUUCAUUGUUUUUGUUUCCCUAUGGUCUCUACUACCUCUGAUUUAAGAUCUUCCUUACUCUGAGGCUUAUAAGAGCCAUCCCCUCAUUGUUGUCUUUAUUUUUGAUUUCUUCUUCUCCGAUUUUUACAACAUUAAAAGCUACUAUUUUUUUCUUCCUUAUUGUACCUGUUAAUAUAGUUUUGUUCAUAGGCAAUAAUAUUACUUCUUAAUUUGUCAUAGGUCCUAUUGUGGAGAUCCCCAUCUUCUAGAAUGGCAGCUUUGGUUUCCCAUAUUUUUGGUAGACUUCUUACAAUGUUUUGGACUUGUAGACUAUUUGGAUAGAUCAUUCCCAAGGACUUUAGGUCGCAUAAAAUUUUUCUGAAUCAAGCAAACAUUGAUUCCACACUUUCAUUUUCUUCCAUUUUAAAGAGUUCAUACCCAUUUACUAGAGCACUAAUUCUUGCCUUUUUUUACUCUGGUGGUUCCUUCAUAGGUUACUUCUAAUUUGUCUCACAUCUUCUUUAAAGUUUCAAAGGUGGAUAUCUUGUCAUAUUCUACUCCAUUAACUGUACAAUAGAGUAAACUAAUAGCUCUUGUAUUAGUUUGAAAUACCUCUUAUUUUUACUUAGUGGCUUUACAGUUUUCAAAGUCGUCCAAGUCAGAACUAGCUGAUUUCUUUUCCUUUUAUUCUUCUCUACAUCCUAGAAUUGGCUUUAGUCCCUUUUUAAUGACAACCCACACUUGAAAUUUGUUUGACUGAACAAAAAUUUUGAACCUAUUUUUCCAAUGGGAGUAGUGUUGAUCAUUAAAAUAUGGUGAUCUAGUGGAUGAGUAACCGUCUUGAAGGAGGGGUCCUGGAAUCUGAUAGUUUGUCAUUGGAUCUUUGCUCAUGUGUGGUCAAACAAUAAUAUUGGUGAGACCUACUCUAAUACCAAUUGAAAUUCAAGGGAGGGGACGGGGUGAAUUCAAACUUUUUCUGAGUCGACUGGUCAGGCUUGACAGUCAACUCACCUGCAGAAAAGUAUACUUAGACAGAAUAAAUUUAAAGUUAAAUAUGUAAGUAAAUAAAGUAAUGACACCGAUAUUUAUCCUGGAUAUAUCCUGGUUUGAAAAACCAGUAUGGUGACUACUUCCAGUCCCUCUAUGUUUCAAGUGUUUCCUUGGAGCUUUAAAAGUAGAGUUGGACUAGAAAUGUUUGCUAAGUUUUGAAGCUUAUUCUGAUAUUCAAAUCUUAUGAAACAGCCUCAACUGGUAUGACUAAGUUGACUCGAUAUUUUCUUUUUGUAAAUACUGUAAACAAAUGAGUACAAAUCUAUGUUAAGACUAAGAUUGAGACACACUAAGAAUUUUCUGUGAAGUUGUGUGCUUUAUUGAGUCUUCAGUCUUCUCUAUUUAUAUUAUUCGAUUGAUGUUGCUGCUUUACUCCAGAAGAAAAUCCAAGGUAUUUCUCCUCGAUAAAGGAUUUAAUUUGGUUCCUUGAUUGAGGUUAAUAUAUCUAUAUUAGAUAUGUCUUUAUAUAAGUUGUUGUUUGCCUUUCAUCACUACCAUUCAUGUCCAUAUCAGAUAUGUCCAUAAAGUGGGUGUGAUUUUAUUUCCAUGUUUCUCUACGAUCUUAUCGAUUAUCUUCCUUAAAUUUUGGGAUCUAGGAGGAUCUCAAGAUAUCUUCUCUUCAUGCCGCAUCUGAGAUCAACUUUUCCUUCCUUGUAGUGGGGGAUAUGCUUCCAAGUAUAUCUCCAAGAUGAUCUUUCUUACGUUGGUUAUCCUUCUGGUAUAUCUUGCACAUUAGCAAUAGAUUAGUUUGUCAUUAUUAAAAUAUAUUACUUUCAUAUGGGAGGCUAACUUAAGACCCCGACUAACUCCAACUAUUUGAAACUAGAUAAAAUUACUGAAAAGAAUGUUGAUAAUUAGUCCUCAAAUGAUGACGACUUACUAAACACUAUUGCUGAUAGGGUGCAGAAUCAUACCAUGCGUAAUCUGCAUUCUGUGCAUUAGAACCUAUAUUACAAGAUAUUAUAGUGCAAAAAAGUAUGUGAUCAUUACUUUGAAUAUAUUGAGUACGUGGGAUAGGAAAUAACUAAUAUAUGCUAAACAUGUCUUAUGUAACAUGGUGAACUGAUGCAAGAACAAGUAAUAAAUAUGUUCCAUAUGAUAAGUUGAGCAUCUCAAUACAAGUUCAUAUGAAAAUCUGAAGCUAAAUAAUGAACUGUGGACUGUGAAAGCUACCAUUCACCAACUUACCCCAAUUUGAGCUAACCGGGGUUAAACCUAUAACCCCAGUAUGAGGGGUGUUCAAUACCUUGCCAAGGGUACGGACACUGACUUAUGUAGUUCCAUAAAAUUGAUGUCCAAAAGGACUAAGGUGUCAAUCUUGGUCUGACUGGUGACCCUUUAUAACCUAAAGUGGAUAUGUAGUUCUAGAACUUAGAGACUUCUACUAAAGGUCUCAACCUUACUGACGGGUGAGCUUCCAUCCCCGCAUUCACUUGAUGCUAAGUAUUACUCCCAACUAAAUGACACUAAUAACUUAAAAUGCUCAAUAAUAAUAAUAUUCUAAAAACCAGCAAUAAAUACAUAAUUUGAAAGUACUCAAUAACAUAUAAGCUAGAGAAUAUAACAUUCAUAAGUGUAUGUAUGAAAUCCUAGGUCAUUGGGUGUUCAUAGCCCACCAUGAUUGAAGAAUGCAACUAAAUAUUGCAAUAUUAAAAUCUGAACAUGAUACGGAAUUUGAUAACUCAAGUCCCAAAAUCAAUAUUUUAUCAACAUACUAAGAUUUUAUAAAUAUGAGUAUAGGAAGACACUCAAAUAUAUGGGAAAACAUAUAUCCAUGGUUUAGUUAAUGAAAUAAACUAAAAACUUAAGAAUUCAUGCUUCCCAUGGAAACCCUAAGCUUGAAGGGUGAAUUAAACUUGGAAAUUGAAUAAUCUUUGGGACUCAAUGGGUGGAAGGAAACCUAUUGAUGAAAUCCCACAUAUCUGAAGUUUAAAAUCGUGAAGAAAUCUUUAGAUUUGAAGUUAGAAGUUGAAAAGCCCUAUUUCUUGCUUGGAGAGGAAAAUUGCCUCUUUCUCUAUCAAAAUUUUUCCAAGUGUUGAAUAAAUUUUUAGAAAUGGGGGACUUAUGGGAGUUUUAAUAUAAUUAUUCAUCCACUGCAAUACUUAAACAUUGUAUUUUUGGUGUUAAAAUGGUGAGAAAAGACAAAACAACCCCUCUAAAAUCAUUUAGAAAACUCCUAGAAGUAGUCUCGACGACUUAGGCUAUGACUCGUAGGGUCUAGACACGAGUCGUGGCUUGAGUAAUAGCUAAAGCCCCAAAAAUUUGGUCCCCACUUCUAUGACAAUGAGUCCUCCAGAUGACUCAUAGGGUCUGACUACGAAUUAUCGUCAAGAGUCGUUGUUGCUGACAGCUUUGACAGUGCUUCAGUAAUUUGGCCAUAACUUUUUACUCCAAUAUUGGAUUAAGGUAAAACUAGUAGAGUUGUAGAGAUAAUUAAAUUAUAUAUAUAUAUAGAUCGGUAUUUAGAUAAGAAAUACUAAUUACUUUCUAAGUCAUGCUUGUUUGAAAUGGACUAUAGCAAUGUUCUUUUGAUGAAUUCAAUUGGUAAGAGAUAUGUUGACUUGUCUAUAAGCAAGGAGUUAUUUAGGGCCUUAAUAUAUGUACGAAUCACAUAACAAACUAUGAAAACAGGAAUAUUAAUUUUGUAUGAACUUGAAUCAUGGUUCUAAUAUUGACUUGGAUUUUUGGGGUGUUACUAUAUCUCUCCCUUGGGGUCACUAGUCCCCGAAUGAAAACUAACUAAGCUAAAGUUCUAGAGAAAAUCUUCAAUUCCCAAAUCGAACUCCUAUGAUCUGAAUAAUGACCCGAUAACUAAAUCCAUAAUUGAUAUAUGGAUUUAACAAAACUCAUGAUUGCAUGUUAUUACAUGAAAAUAGUUGGGUGUCCUGAGAUAUAAAGAAUUGGUUAAAAAGAAAUUAUUACCUCAAGUUGGGACUAAGUUCAAAGAGAAAGGAUCGGGGUACUUGGUCAUCAUAUCAUCCUCCGAUUCCUAAGUAGCUCUCUCAACUAGCUGAUUUCUCCACAGAACCUUUACCAAGGCGACCCCCUUUUUUCUCAGCUUAUGAAUCUGGCAAUCAAGUAGUUCAACUGGAACCUCUUUGUAAGAGAGACUAUCUUUAACGCCCACACUCUCUAAAGGAACGAAUAAUGUUGGGUCUCCAAUGCAUUUUUUAACUAAGAAACAUGCAUACUGGAUGCACGGAUGCUAAAUUUGUAGGCAAUUCAAACUCAUAGGCUACAUUACUAUAGCGACUCAAAAUCUUAUAAGGACCAACAUAGUGGCGACUGAACUUUCUCUUCUUACCAAAUCUCUUUAACAGUUUCAUGGGCGAAACCUUCAAGUACAUAAAAUCACCAAUAGCAAACUAACUCCCUUCUCCUCACAUCUACAUAAAAUUUUUGAUGAAUCUAUGCAGGUUUCAGCCUUUCAAUAAUUAGCUAAAAUUUUUCAAUUACCUCAUUUACUGAAUCUAGCCCUAUAAAAGUAGCUUCACCAAUCAAACCAGCUAAUAGGAGAUCUACAUCUCCUACCCUAAAGUGCUUCAAAUUAGUCCAUCUAAAUACUGUAGUGGUAGCUAUUAUUAUAAGAAAAUGCAAUCAAAGGAAAAUGAUCAUCCUAAUUCCCCUUGAUAUCAAUCACGCACGCUCUCAACAUGUCGUCUAAGGUAUGAAUGGUCCUCUCUGCCAGACUAUCUGUAUGAAGGUGAAAACCCAUACUAAGAUGAACUUAGGUACCAAGAACCUUGUGAAAACUCAUCCAAAAUCAGGAGGUAAACUGGGUACCUCUAUCUAAAAUAAUGGUCAAAGGAACUCUAUGAAGUUUCACCAACUCUGUAAGAUAGAGUUUAGUAUAACCUUUAGCUAAAUCUGAAGUUUUAAUUGACAAGAUAUGGGCUAACUUCGUAAUUCGGUCCAAGAUAACACAAAUAGAAUUAUGUUAUUGAUAAGUAUAAGGUAACCCUAUAAUGAAACCACUCCCUAUUUCUAAGUAGGAAUGUUGAUUUACAGAAGCAUACCACCAAGUCACUGGUGCUAAACCUAAACCUACUGGAAAUUUGGACAUUUAGCCAUAAAUUUUGCGAAAUCCGUCUUUAUGUUAUUCCACCAAUAGACUUCCUAUAAAUCACGAUACAUCUAAGUGGAUCCUAUAUGAAUAGAAUAUCGAGAACCGUGAGCUUCUACUAGCAUCCGCUAUCUUAAGUCAUCCACAUCCCACAUAGUCUGCCCUAAUAAUGAAUAACACCAUCUUUUUCUUUGAAGAAAACCUCAACCUUCUGACUCUUGACUACUUUGUUAUAAAGUAAACUAUGAUUACUAUCUUGAUUUUCCUUCACCUCAACUAUCAAUGAAGAUUCUAAACUAUUUUGAAUGAAGAGAUUACCUUCAGUUAAAUAAAACAACAAAACUCCUAACCUAGAAAGAUAGUGAAACUCAUGAACUAACUCUUGAACUAACUCUUUCUUUUCAUUAUCAACGUGAGAAACACUUCCCAUAGGCAAUCUGCUAAGAGCAUCGGCCACAACAUUGGCUUCACCUAAAUGGUACAAGACACUAACAUUGUAAUCCUUCAAUAACUCCAGCCACCUUCUCUAAAGAAAAUAUAGAUCUUUCUAGCUGAACACAUACUGAAGACACUUGUGGUCGGUGAACCCAUCAACAUGAACCCUAUAAAGAUAAUACCUCCAAAUGUUUAACUCAAAACAAUGACUGCCAACUCAAGAUCAUGAGUUAGGUAGUUCUUCUCAUAAGGUUUGAGUUGUCCAGAGGCAUAUGCUAUACACUUGACCCACUGCAUUAAAACACAUCUAAGUCUAAUUCUUGAAGCAUCACAAUAAACCACAAAACUUUCUGAACCCUUUAGUAGAGUCAAAAUAGGAGCAGAGAUGAGUCAAAUUUUCAUCUCUUAAAAUCUAUUCUCUCAAGUAUAGGACCACUGGAAUUUAUCUUUCUUUUAGAUACGAAAGAAGCAAUAUAGGAAAAUUCUUCAACAAACUAUUUAUAGUAAGCGGCUAAAUCAAAGAAACUCAUGAUAUCUAAUAAAAAGAUGGGUCUAGUCUUGUUCCUCACUGCUUUGGUCUUCUGAGGAUCAAUUCAAAUUCCUUCACCAAAAAUAAUAUAACCUAUGAAUGCUACUAAUUUCAACUAGAAUUCACACUUGCUGAACUUAGCAAAUAGCUAGUGAUCUUUAAGAGUCUACAAGACAAUCCUCAAAUGUCCUGUGUGUUCAUCCUUACUAUGAGAGUAAAUGAGGAUGUCAUCUACGAAAAAUAUAGCGAGCAUGUCCAAGUACUACUUAAAAAACCUAUUUAUCAAGUCCAUAAAAGCUGCAAGAGCAUUAGUUAUUUCAACAUACAUAAAAAUAAAAUCAAAGUAACCAUACCCGGUUCUAAAGGCUUUCUUUGAAAUGUCACAUUCUCUGACUCUGAGAUGAUGACAGCCGGAUAUAAGGUCGAUCUUUGAGAAAUGUUUACACCCUAAAGUUGGUAAAAAAAGUCUUCACUCUUGAGAAUAGGAUACUUCUUCUUGACUGUGACCUUAUUCAACUAAUGAUAAUCGAUGCACAUACUGAGAUAACCAUCUUUCUUGUGAACAAAAAGAAUUGGGGCACCCUAUGCAAAGGUCCUAAUCCUGAUAAAACCCUUGUCUAGGAGAUCUUUUAGUUCUACCUUUAAUUCCUUAAGCUCAUCUGAAGCCAUUCUAUAGGGUAUGAUUGAAAUAGGUUGUGUAUAUAGACGGAGAUCUAUUAUGAAGUCAAUUUUCCUCUCGAAAGGAUUUCCAGGCACCCUUUGGAAAUAAUUUCCUUGCCUUAAGGAAAAAGACAAAUAGAUCUAUAGGCAUCGAGGUACUGCCCUUACACUCUAAGAUUGGCUUAUUUGGAAACUUAAAAUGAACUAAUCUAUUUUUAUAAUUAACUAGGGCAUAGCAAGAGUGGAGACAAUCCAUGCUAAAAAUAACAUCAAAAUUAGUCAUGUCUAACUCAACAAGGUCGACUGAGGUAACUUUCUGGGAUACAGUGACUAGGCAAUUUUUGUUUACCCAUCUGGCUAUGAAUAAACAAAAAUUGUAGUAGAAACUGAGAAAGGUUCUAUGAGGAUUUUAAGGCUAACAUAAAAAUCUACUUCUAUAUAGUGGGACACGAAGCAAAGUGUGUCUCCAGGGUUAAAUAAUGCAUAAACAUUAAUAUUAAAACUUACAAUGUACUAAAGACCACAUCAGGAGAACCCUUUUGAUCCUUUUGAGUUUAAAGGGAAUAAAACCUAUUCUAAAUAUGUCCUCUAGCUGUACUAGAUAUGUCACCCUAAUGAGUUAGGCAACCUGCUCGAGGUGCUUAAGAGUUAGAUUAACUUUCCUAACGAACAUCCUUACCUCUCUAUAAGCCACUAGCUAUUCCCUCAAUCUAUGGUCUUACUUUCCACAUCAAAAAUAGGCAUCACUACCUACCAUACAAUCACAUUGUGGUUCCUACCAUAUUUUUUGUAAAUUGGGUUAGUACGAACACUUUUCUCUUGACUUUGGGACUUUGAUACAAACACUCUAUCUCGAGUGUCCAAGCUAAACUUGUGUACUGGGAACUAAAAUAAUAUGGGGAUAUAGAUGAAGAUAUCUGAUUAACUAAUAAUGAUUACCACUAUCUGAACUAUGCUGAGAGAAAUUAAACGUACUGGUUCUAGCCCUAUUACUAUCCCUUUACUUCUCCUUGAUUUUCUUCUCUUCAAUAUUUUAAGCAUGAAUUAUAAAUCUAGAGAUGUCCAUCUCCUUAACCAACAUAUCCGUUCUAUACUUUUUGACCACGUCCUCAGAAACACCUAUUACAAAUUUGCUCAUUUGGGCCCUAGAGUCAGAAACCAUAGUUGGAGCAUACAUUGCCAAUCGAGUAAACGUAAGUGAAUAGUCUUUCACAUUCAUGUUGCCCUAUUUUAUGUUUAUAAAUUAUUGCACCUUUCUUUCUUUUAACAAAUAUAGGAAGAACUUAUCCUAAAAUUCAACAGCAAACUCAUCCCACUUUACCAAUCCUACAUCUAUACCUUUAUCAUCCUUCUAUUACUUGAGCCAUGUGUGAGCCACUCCUUGCAAUUGAUAAGAAUACAAAUCAACACUUUUAGUUGAAGUGACACCCAUGAUUUUAGAAACAUUUGAAAAACUAUCAAUGAACUCUAAUGGAUCCUCUUUAGACGAGUGAAGUCCUGAACUCUAGUUGUUGUGGUAUUCAUAGCUGGGUUGGCUAUUUCAACAAACUGCUAUUUAUUAUGAGCGGGCAUGGACUUUGCUAUUGCUUUGAAAGCAUCUCUAAACUCAGCUUGGGAAACUUGUUCAUUCAAAGGGUUUGCUAGAGCUGGGUGUGAUGCUUGCUGAUUCCUAUUCCCUUCUAUUAGUUCUCUUGUGAGGCAUUUUUUAUAUAUGUGUAGAGGAUGAGUUAGAAGAAUUUUAAUAGAUUUCACAGUCUAUCGCACAACAUGAAUCAUGAAAGAAGUGAAAUUUUUUCUAAGACAUUUUAUAGCCUCUCAUUCAUAAAUGUGGCACUUCAUACCCAUGAAUAAGACUCUACUUAAUGUAGUUUUCAGACAGCCUAGGAUACUUUACACCUGAUACUCUAAUACUAAGUUUUUCAAGACCUAAUACUACUCUUAGUCAUAAUACGGUGCUCAAAGUCACAACUGACCCCAAGCUAACCCAUGGCCUAGCAAAACACUAAGAAUAUAGGAAAAAAUAAUGAGAUAUUGAAUAGAAACUAAACUAAAAUGACCUGAUUAUGAUAAAAUUAUAAUCAGUACUGUUGAUGAAAACUAAAAUGGUCUGACAUAAUAAACAUGAUGAAAACAUAACUAUCUCUUUAAAAGCCAUUUAAUCAUAUGAGUUGUUGCGACAAGCUCUAAACUAACUCUAACUGUCAAAAACUAAAUAAAAGUAUUGAAAAGAAAUACUGAUAAUUGGUCCUCAUAUGAUGAGGAAUUACCAAACGCUACUACUGGUAAGGUGUGGAAUUGUACUAAGCAUAUCUUGGAUGCUAAGCAUCAGACCUAUAUUACAAGAAAAUAUAGCAUGGAGAAAGUUUGCGAUCAGUACUUUGAAUGUACUGAGUAUGUGAGAAGGGUAAUAACUGAUAUAGGAUGAACAUGAUGCAUUUAACAUGGUAAACUAAUACAUGAACAAGAAAUAAACAUGUACUAUAUGAUAAGCUGAACAACUAAAAAUGAGGUCAUGCAAAAAUCUGAAGCUUAAAUAUAAUUUAUGGACAGUGGGAGCUACCAUUAACCGACAUACCCUUAUUUGAGCUAACUGGUUUUUAACCUCUAAACCCAAUUGGAUGGGUGUUUAGUACCUAGCCCAGGGAACAAACACUUACUGACAUGGUUCCACUAAACUAAUGUUAGAAAGGACUAAGGUGUCAAUCCUGGUCUAAAGGGUGAUUCUUUAUAACCUAUGGUGGAGCCAUAUUUCUAUAACUUUGGGACUUCUACUAAAUCUCACAGCAUAUAUAAUGUGUCAUCCUCCAUCCUUGCGUUCGUGUGGUUCUAAUUAUUAUUCCUAACUAAAUGACACUAAUAACUGAAAAAUAUUCAAUAAUAAUAAUAUUCAAAAAAUAAGCAGUAAAUACAUAAUUUAAAAGUAAUCAAUAACAUAUAAGCUGGAGAAUAUCACAUUCAUAAGUGUAUGCAUGAACUUUGAGGUUAUGCAUGAACUUUGAGGUCAUCGGGGUUCAUAACCUACCAUCUCUGAAGAAUGCAACUAAAUAUGGAAAUAGUGAAAUUUGAACAUAAUAAGGAAUUUCAUAACUAAAGCCGAAAAGUCAAUAAUUUAUAAAUAUAAUGUGAUUUUAUAAUUAUGAGUAUAGGAAGAUGUGGAAGUUUAUGGGAAAACGUAUACCCAUGGCUUAGUUAUAAAAAUAAACUAAAAAGGUAAGAAAUUUGUACUUUCUAUGGAAACCCUAAGCUUGAACAGUAAGUUAAACUUGAGAAAUUGAGUAACCUUUUGGAAUCAAUGGGUGGAAGAAAAUCCGUUCAUGAAAUCCCACUUACCUGAGGCUUGAAACCUUGAAGAUAUCUUUGGAUUUGAAGAUAGAAGUUGAAAACCCUAAUUUCUUGCUUAUAGAGGAAAAUUGCCUUUUUCUCUCUCUUUAAUUUUUCUUAGUGUUGAAUGAAUUUUUAGGAAUGUGGGACUUAUGGGUGUUUUAGUAUAAUGCUUCUACACUUGGAGUUUUUAAAAAUGUAGUUCUGGUGUUAAAAUAAGGAGUAAAGACCACAACUUAGGUAGUCCCGACCCUUUGAGAAGUUGACUUUAGAAUUAGAUCACCUUCAAAAUACCCAACCUAUUUCAAUUCCACCAUAUAGAAUUGCUCCAAUCGACCAUAAGGAAAUAAAAUAAAAAUUAAAAGAUCUCCAAUACAAGGGUUUUAUUAUGUCUAGUAUCUCUCCAAGGGGUGCCCCAAAUUUUUUUGUGCAAAAGAAAGAUGGUUUUCUCAAGAUGUGUAUCAACUAUUGUCAGUUGAACAAGGUCAUAGAUAAGAAUAAGUAUCCCAUUCCUUGGAUUUAUAACUUGUUCAGCCAACUUUAUGGUGCCAAAUUUUUCUCUAAAAUAUACUACAAAUCUAGCUAUCAUCACCUCAGAGUCAGAGAAUGUGACAUUCCAAAGACAACCUUCAAAACUUGGUAUGGUCACUUUGAAUUUGUUUUUAUGUUUUUUGGACUAACAAAUGCUCCUACAACUUUUAUGGACUUGAUUAACAUGGUGCUCAAGAAGUACUUGGAGAUGUUCAUUGUAGUCUUUAUAGAUGACAUCCUCGUUUACUCUCAAAGUUAUGAAGAACACGUAGACUAUUUGAGGAUUAUCUUGCAGACUCUUAAAGAUCACCAACUAUUUGCUAAGUUCAGCAAGUGUGAAUUCUGGUUGAAAUUAGUAUCCUUCAUAAGUCAUUUUAUUUCUAGUGAAGGCAUUAGAGUUGUUCUCAGAAUACUAAAGUAGUUAGAAACUGGCCUAGACCCAUCUCUCCAUAAGAUAUCAGGAGUUUCUUGGGUUUAGCCGGUUAGUUUAGAUGGUUUGUUGAAGAAUUUUCCUCUAUUAAUUCUCCCAUAUCCAGACUGGCCUAGAACAUAGUUAAAUUCUAGUGGUCCAAUUCUUAUGAGAAGAUUUUUUAGGAAUUCAAUACUCGACUCACCUCCACUUAAGUUUUGAAUCUACUAGAGGGUUCAAAUGGUUUUGUUGUUUAUUUUGAUGCUUUGAGAGUUGGACUUGGAUGUGUGUUAAUACAACAGGGCAAGGUUAUAGAAUUUUUCUCUAGAGAACUCAAACCUCAUAAAAAAAACUACUCGAAUCAUGAACUUAAGUUGGCAACAAUUAUUUUUGCCUUGAAGAUUUGAAGGCAUUAUCUUUAUUGGGUUCAUGUUGAUGUGUUCACUGAUCACAACAUUCUUCAAUAUGUGUUUAGCCAAAAUUGGUGACUCCCUGAAAAUCAUGGUACAUAUUUUUGGCUCCUAGGUGAGAAGAGUAUCGAGAACUAUGAGCUUUUGCUAGCAUCUGCUGUCUCAAUUUAUCCACAUCCGAAAAACAUAGUCUACCCUAACAAAGAAGGACAACAUCUCUCCCUUGGAAGAAAACCACAAACUUUUGACUCUUGACAAUAGGAAUUGCUUCAAUUUUUGGCCUGAGUUUCCAUAGCUAAACAAGCAUCACUAUCGGCAAUAAAGUCACCUUUAUGGUUCCUACCACAUUAUUUGCAAACUGUCUUCGUACGAAUACUAUUCACACUACUAUAGGACUUAGUACUGCGCACUCUAUCCUGAAUAUCCUACCUAAACUUAAGUGUUAGGGCACUUGAAGAAAAUAGGGCUGAGUUAAAGAUUUUUGAUGAAACUAAGAACGAUUACCACCAUAUAACCUAUGUUGAGAGAAAUUAAAGCUACCAGUUCUGGCCCUCUUACUCUUCUUUUCUUUUCCUUGAUUUUCUCCUCUUCAAUAUAUUGAGCAUGAACCAGAAAUCUGAAGGUGUUGAUAUCCUUAACCAACAUAAUCAUUCUAUGCUCUUUGACCAUGUCCCUUGAAAUAACUGACACAACUUUUCUCAUUCGCUCCCUAGAAUCAGCAACCAUAGCUAGAGCAUACCUUUCCAACUUAGCAAACAUAAGCUUAUAUUCUCUCACACUCAUAUUGCCCUACUUCAGGCUUACAAAUUCUUGCACAUUGGCUUCUCUUAACUCAAGUUGGAACAACCUAUGCAGAAAUGCAGCAACAAACUCAUCCUACUCUAUCAAUCCUAUAUUUGCACUUCUAUCAUCUUUCCAUUACUUGAACCAUGUGUGAACCACUCUUUGCAAUUUAUAAACAACCAAAUCAUCACUUUCAAUGGAAGUGACACCCAUGAUUUCAGUAACUUUCUAAAUACUAUCAAGCUCUUGUAGAUCCUUUUUAGACUACGACCCAAAGAGUAUCAGAGGAUUCAUCCUAGUGAAGUCCCAGAUUCUAGUUGUUGCAGUAUUCAUAGCUGAGUUAGCUAGUACAAAAACCAGUUGGUUAUUCUGGAUGGUCAUGGACUGGGCCAAUAUUGUUAACGCAACCCUAAACUCAAUAUAGGAGGCUUUUUUGUUGAAAGGGUUUGUUGUAGGUAAGGGUAGUGAUUGCUGAUUCCCUUUCAUUUUUUAGUUAGUUCUCAAGAAACGCAUUUUUGUAUAUGUGCAGAGGAUAAGUUAGAAGAAUUUUACUAGAUUUCAAACUCUAUCACAUGACAUGAGAUCAUGAAAUAAGUGAAACUUUUCCUAAGACAUUUCAUACCCUCUUAUUUAUAAAUGUGGCACGCUUCACACCUAUGAACAAAACUCUACUUAACGCAAUUUUCAGACACCAUAGGACACUUUAAACCUGAUUCUAUAAUAUCAAGUUUUUCAUGACUUUCGAAUGCCCCCUAGUCGUAACAUGGUUCUUAGAGUAAAAAGUGACCCCAAGAUAACCCAUGGCUUGGCAAAACACUUUAAAUACAGACGUAAAUAAUAAGAUAUUGAAUGGAAACUAAAUUGAAAUAACUGAAUUAUAAUAAAAUAAAAAUCAGUACUGGAUAUCAAAACAAAGACUUUCCGACGUACUCAAACUGCUAAAAACAUAACUAUCUGUCUGAAAGCCUCUAAAUCUUAUGAGUUGUUGGGACAAGACCCCAAAUAACUCUAAAUAUUUGAAACUAGAAAAAGGUAUAGAAAUAAAAUGUUGAUAAUUAGUCCAUGAAUGAUUAGGACUCACCAAACACUUCUACUUAUAAGGUACAGAAUCGUAUAAAGUACGAUCUAGAUGUUGAGCAUCAGAACUUAUAUUAUAAGAUAAUAUAGUGCAAAGAAAGUAUGCAAUAAGUACUUUGAAUGUAAUGAGUAUGUGAGAUGGAAAAUAAUUGAUAUAGGCUAAAAUUGAUUCAUGUAACAUGGUGAAUAGAUGUAAGACCAAGUAAUAAAUAUGUAUUGUAUAAUAAGUUGAGCAACUGCAUACAAGGUCAUGAAAAAAUCUAAAGCUGAACUAUAAACUAUGGACUGUGGGAGGUACCAUUAACCAACAUACCCAAUCAAAGAAAAUUGGGGUCCAAUCUAUAACCCUAGUUGGAUGGGUGUUCAGCACCUUGUGAAGGGUACGAACACUGAUUGAUGUGGAUCCACUAAAAUGAUGUCCAAAAGGACUAAGGUUACAAUCCUAGUAUGAUGGGUGACCUUUUAUAACCUAUGGUGGAACCAUAGUUCUGGAACUUAGGAAAUUUUACAAAAGGUCUCAAGCUAAGUUACGGGUGAGCCUCCAUCCUUACAAUUGCUCAGUGCUAAGUACUACUCCCAACUAGAUGGCCCUGAUAACUGAAAAUGCUUAAUAAUAAUAAUAUUUUUAAAAUUAACAGUAAAUGCAUAAUCUGAAAGUACUCAAUAACAUAUAAUAUGGAUAAUAUAACAUUCAAAAGUGUAUGCAUGAAAUCCUAGUUGAUCAGGUGUUCAUAACCCACCAUCUCUAAAGAAUGCAACUAAAUAUAGUAAUAUUAAAAUCUGAACAAAAUAAGGAAUUUCAUAACUCAAGCCCAAAACUCAAGAACUUAUCAAUAUAAUGAGAUUUUAGAAUUAUGGGUACAGUAAGAUGAUCACAUUCAUGAGAAAAUAUAUAUCCAUGGUUUAGUUUACGAAAUAAACUUAAUACUUGAGAAAUUCUUGCUUUAUAUGGAAACCCUAAGCUUGAAGGGUGAAUUAAACUUUUGAAAUUGAGAAAUAUUUGGAACUCAAUGGGUGGAAGGAAACUCAUUGAUGAAAUCCCACAUACUUGCGAUUUUAAACCUUGAAUAAAUCUUUGAAUUUGAAGUCAUAAGUUGAAAAUCCCUAUUUCUUACUUCGAGAGAAAAAUUGCCUCAUUCUCUCGCAAAUAUUUCUAAUUGUUGAAUGAAUUUUGAGGAAUGGGGUACUUCUGGGUGCUUUAGUAUAAUUAUUCAGCCCUUGGAGUGCUUAAACAAUGUAGUUUUUGUGUUUUAAAUAGUGAGAAAAGACCAAACAACUCCUCCAAAAUCAUUUAGAAAACUUUUGAAACCAUUCCUGAUGACUUAGGCAACGACUCGUAGGGUAUGGAGAUGAGUCAGUGAUAGAGUAAUAUCCAAAGGACCAAAAUUUUAGUCCCCAAUGCCAUGACAAUGAGUCCUUCUGAUGACUCAUAAGGUCUAACCAUGAGUCAUUGUACAUCAGUAAUUUAGCCAUAACGAUUUACUCUGAUAUAAGAUUAAGGCUAAACUGGUGAAGUUGGAAAGCCAAUUCAAUUAUCUAUCUUUUUGUGGAUAUUUAUCUCAAACAUAGUUAGUACUUUAUAAGUUAUGCUCAUUUGAAUCUAUCUAUAGAAAUAUUUUUCACACGAAUUCAAUCGGUAAGAGAUAUUUUGACUUGUCUAUAAGCUAGGAGUUAUUUGGGGCCUUAAUAUAUGUCUAAACAACUUAUCUAACUAUGAAAACAUGAUUUUUGAUUUUUCAUGAACUUGAAGCAUGGUUCUAAUAUUGACUUGGACUUUUGGGGUGUUACAAUAUCUCACCCUUGAGGACAUUCAUUCCCAAAUGCAAACUAACUAAGCUGAAUAGCUAGAGGAAAGCUAUCAUUCCCAAAAUGAACUUCUACAAGCUGAAUAAUGAUCUUAUAACUGAAUCUAUAAUUGAUAUAUGGAUAGAACCAAACUCAUGAAUGCAUGUUAUGACAUGAAAAUAGUUGGGUGGCUUGAGAUAAAAAGAAUUGGUUAAGAAAAAACUAUUACCUCUAGUUGGGACUAAGUUCGAAGAGAAAAUAUAGUGGUACUUGCUUAUCAUAUCUGCCUCUUAUUCCUAAAUAUCCCUCUUAACUGAAUGAUUUCUCCACAGAACCUCUACCAAAGUGACCUUUUUUCUCAACUUACGAAUCUGGUGAUCAAGGAUCUCAACUUAGACUUCACUCUGCCCACACUCUCUAAAGGAACGACUGAUGUUGGGUCUCGAAUGCAUUUCUAUAAUAAAGAAACAUGGAAUACUGGAUGCAUGGAUGCUAAAUUUGUAGGCAAUUCCAACUCAUAGGCAACAUUACUAUAACAACUCAAAAUCUUAUACAGACCAACAUAGUGGGGACUGAACUUUCUCUUCUUACCAAAUCUCUUCAACACUUUCCUGGGCGAAACCUUCAAGUAGAUAAAAUCACCAAUAGCAAACUCAAACUCCCUUCUGCUCACAUCUUUAUAAGAUUUUUGAUGACUUUUUGCUGUCUUAAGCCUUUCUUUAAUCAGUUUAACUUUUUCCAUUGCCUUAUGUAUUAAUUCUCGCCCCAUUAAAGUAGCUUCACCAAACUCAAACAAACCGAUAAGAGAUCUACACCUCCUACCAUAAUGUGUUUCAAAAAGGGACUAUCUGAAUACUAGAGUGGUAGCUGUUAUUAUAAGAAAACUCAAUCAUAGGAAAAUGAUCAACCCAACUACCCUUAGAAUUAGUCACGCACACUCUCAACAUGUACUAUAGGGUCUAAAUGGUCGUCUCUACACGAUGAUCUAUCCAUGGCUGAAAAGUCGUACUAAGAUGAACUUAGGAACAAGGAACCUUCUAAAAAGUCUUCCUAAAUCAAGAGGUUAACUAGGUACCUCUAUUUGAAAUAAUGGUCAAAGGAACUCGAUAGAAUUUCACCAUCUCCCUGAGAAAGAGUUUAGCAUAAUAUUCAGCUGAAUUUGAAGUGUUAACUUGAAGUAAGUGGGUUGACUUAGUCAUUUGGUCCAUGAGAACCCAAAUAGAAUCAUGUUGUCGUCGAGUAUGUGGCAACCCUAUAUUGAAGUCCAUAUUCACUACUUUCCACUUACAAGUAGGAAUAUUGAUUUCCUGAAACAUACCACUAGGUCUAAAAUGCCCCGAAAAUGGGUUCUAAAGUGUCACACGGUGCUUGAGGCUAUAAGUAGCCCCAAGCUAACCCUUUGAGCCAUUUUCUUUCAGUUCAACACGAAUCAAUGGGGUUUCUAUAAAUAAACCUCAAAUAUCAACAAAGUAAUCAUCAUCCAAGAAUAAAAGAAUUUCAGAAAGAUAACAAAAUACGACUUAUUAGUCAACUCCCAACAUCUAUACUAGUCUGACAAGCCUCUAAGAAAAUCAAUAAAACGAGCAAGCCAUUGAGACAUGCCCCAACUAACUCAUACUCAGUUAUCAAAUGUAAACAAUUUCAUGAAACCAACAUCAAACAUCACGUCCUCGGAACGUGAGGACUUACCAUGAUAGACAAUGUAGAACAGCAUGCUCGAAGAAUCACUGUUGAUCCUGGAACUGAGCACCUGAUCCUAUAUUCCAAGAAAAUGCAGCCCACAUCCAAAGAUGUGGGUCAGUACCAUGGAAAGGAAUCGAGUAUAUGGGGGUGUAUGCAGUUUUAUAAACAUCAUCAUCAUAAAUAUUUAUAAGAAAUAUGCAGGAUGUAUGAAAGACACACAUAGCCCAAAGAAAAUCAUCAUAAUCAUGAGAGGAUGAAAUAAGUACAAUAACACAUGUGAGUCAUCAUAUAAUUUGUCAAUCACUUUCAGUUCAUCAAGAAUAUCAAUUCUCAUAAUGUAAAUAUCAUUUAAAUCUUUUGAAAGAAUAACUUUCACAAUUCCACUUUCAAAUCACUUCACCAUUCACCAUACACACAANNNNNNNNNNNNNNNNNNNNNNNNNNNNNNNNNNNNNNNNNNNNNNNNNNNNNNNNNNNNNNNNNNNNNNNNNNNNNNNNNNNNNNNNNNNNNNNNNNNNNNNNNNNNNNNNNNNNNNUUCUAGGGAAGUAAGGUCGCUUUAUACCUCCCACUCGGUGCUAAAGAUUUCUCCCGAACUUAGGUCAGAUCAUUUCAAAGACAAUCCACAACAAAACAAUUUCAGUAAUAUAUAAAUAUACAUCGAGAGCCAUCAUGCUUCGCAUCUAUCAAAAUCAACCACGUUAUGGAUUUCUUUCACACUCGAGUUCAAAACAACUCCAUUAAGAUCAAAAGGUCAAAUCACUCAAAAUAUCUCAAAUAUUCAACAUCAACGUGUUUAUAACACACACUUUCUCAAAAAAACACAAUUUCCAAUAGAGAUUCACAACCCAAAUAUCAAAAUCAUGAUAAAUAUCAUUCAAGAUUCAUGCUUUAUAUCUCCACACAUGUAAAUUCAUCUUUCAAAAUCAUAAACAUCAAGAUUUCAUAGUAAUCGUCAUAAGAUAUGGGUUUAUACUUCAAAUUCGUAAAAAUCAAAUAAAAUCUUGCCUUUGUAAAGAAAAUUACUUUUGGGCACAAGAACGUAAGAGAGUUCUUAUUGAAACACCCCACAUACCUUGAAUGAUGAAGUUUAGAUCGAUACUUGUUUUUUAGGUGUUAAUCAAGCCUUUAAAUGUUGGUUCUUGGAGUUCUUGAAAUAGGAACUUGGAAUCUUGAAUAGAUUUGUAGAAUAAAUAGUAAACUUUAGAGGUUCUUGAAGUUUGAUAUAGGAGCUUAGGGUUUUCUUUUUGAGGGAAUUUGAUGAAAUAUAACAUAUAAUGCUUCUAAUAGGCUUUAAUGUAGGGUUUGGAUGGAUUUUGGGUGAGGGAGGAUGACUAAAACGCCCCUAAAAAUCAAAUAAUUCUCAAAUCUGUCCUUUUGUGGACUGUUUUGAUAGUCUGAAGUAGAUCAACAAUAAUGUUUUACUCCGAUAUCCAAAUUGGAUGAAACCAAUUUCAUUAGAAAGAGGAAUCUCAUAUAUUGCUAUUGAUAUAUUGUAUCUCACCCAGAUCAUUGUGUACGAGGAGUUAUGAUCUUUUGUAUUUGACCCAAAAGUUUACUUUUGAUUGGCUGAAGUAGAUCGACCAUAACUUUUUGCUUCGAUAGACAAAUUGGAUGAAACCAAUUUCAUUGGAAAGAGGAAUCACAUAGCUUUCCAUUGAUAUAUAGUAGAUCACCCAGAUCAUUAUGUACAACGAGUUAUGAUCGUUUAAAGUUGGAGCACAAAUACGCCUGGCCUCAGUACUUUUUCCUGCAUGUUUUACUGUUCACUACUAUUUACAGUUCGAUCAGAAUGUUCAUAACUCGUCGCUCGGGUGUCCGUUUUGGAUGAUCCACAUAUAGUUGGAAAGAUUAUUAGAUACUCUACGUAAUGGUGGGUCAUAAUCUAAGACAUUAUUCAUGGAAAAUGAAUAAUUUAUUUUAGAAGAUAGAAUCCAACACGUUUACGCACAAAAUUUUAAUAAAAAAUUUCCCAAGGUAUUACAUCAUACCCCCCUUGGAAACAUUUGUCCUCGAAUGGCGCUAGACAUUCCAAGAUUAGAUAGGGAAUAGAGCAUAUAGAUGAAACCAUUCAUUAGACUCAUCACCACAUCAUUUCUCAGUCUGAAUGUAACAUAGAAUGUAUAAAUUCAAGAAACUACAGCUGAACAUAUAAUAAAUGACAGCGGAACUACUGCAACUUUUAUCAAAAGUGCAUGAUUUAGGAAAGAACGGUACCUUUAGCUUGACCGGAGUUCGCGGAAAAUAGGUGUGGGUACUUGGAUUGCGUAUCCGCCGCAGCUUCCCAAGUUGCACCCUCAACAUAUUGGUUUCGCCACAACAUCUUGGCCAAGGCAAGUCUUCGGACACUGAAAUCAAGAAUCUCAACAGGAAUCUCAUCAAAAGAAAGAUUUUCUUGAAUGUCAGCACUCAAAGAGAAAUCCACUACCACAACAUUGCUAAUAUGCUUUCUAAGCAUGGAGACAUGGAAUAUUGGAUGAACAGAGGAUAACUCGGAGGGCAACUCGACCUCAUAAGCUACCUUACCAAUACGGCUAAUAAUUUUGUAAGGACCAACAUAACGGGGACUAAGCUUCCCCUUCUUUUCGAAUCUCUUCACCCCCCUCAUGGGUGAAAUUUUCAGAUACACUAGGUCACCAACUUCAAACUCAAGGUCUCUCCUUCUAACAUUCGCAUAUGACUUCUAACGACUCUGUGCAGUUUUCAACCUUUCCCUAAUCAACUUAACUUUUUCCAUUGCCUUAAAUACUGAAUCAGGACCACUCACAACGGCUUCACCCACCUCGAACCAACCUAUGGCUGAUCUACACUUCCUUCCAUAUAAGGCUUCAAAUGGAGCCAUGCCAAUACUAAAGUAGAAACGUUUAUUGUAAGCAAACUCUAUCAACGGUAAGUGAUCAUCCCAACUUCCCUUAAAGUCAAGUGCACAAGCUCUCAAUAUAUCCUCUAAGGUCUGGAUGAUCCGCUCAGCCUGACCAUCGGUCUGCGGAUGAAAUGUAGAACUCAAAAGCACUNNNNNNNNNNNNNNNNNNNNNNNNNNNNNNNNNNNNNNNNNNNNNNNNNNNNNNNNNNNNNNNNNNNNNNNNNNNNNNNNNNNNNNNNNNNNNNNNNNNNNNNNNNNNNNNNNNNNNNNNNNNNNNNNNNNNNNNNNNNNNNNNNNNNNNNNNNNNNNNNNNNNNNNNNNNNNNNNNNNNNNNNNNNNNNNNNNNNNNNNNNNNNNNNNNNNNNNNNNNNNNNNNNNNNNNNNNNNNNNNNNNNNNNNNNNNNNNNNNNNNNNNNNNNNNNNNNNNNNNNNNNNNNNNNNNNNNNNNNNNNNNNNNNNNNNNNNNNNNNNNNNNNNNNNNNNNNNNNNNNNNNNNNNNNNNNNNNNNNNNNNNNNNNNNNNNNNNNNNNNNNNNNNNNNNNNNNNNNNNNNNNNNNNNNNNNNNNNNNNNNNNNNNNNNNNNNNNNNNNNNNNNNNNNNNNNNNNNNNNNNNNNNNNNNNNNNNNNNNNNNNNNNNNNNNNNNNNNNNNNNNNNNNNNNNNNNNNNNNNNNNNNNNNNNNNNNNNNNNNNNNNNNNNNNNNNNNNNNNNNNNNNNNNNNNNNNNNNNNNNNNNNNNNNNNNNNNNNNNNNNNNNNNNNNNNNNNNNNNNNNNNNNNNNNNNNNNNNNNNNNNNNNNNNNNNNNNNNNNNNNNNNNNNNNNNNNNNNNNNNNNNNNNNNNNNNNNNNNNNNNNNNNNNNNNNNNNNNNNNNNNNNNNNNNNNNNNNNNNNNNNNNNNNNNNNNNNNNNNNNNNNNNNNNNNNNNNNNNNNNNNNNNNNNNNNNNNNNNNNNNNNNNNNNNNNNNNNNNNNNNNNNNNNNNNNNNNNNNNNNNNNNNNNNNNNNNNNNNNNNNNNNNNNNNNNNNNNNNNNNNNNNNNNNNNNNNNNNNNNNNNNNNNNNNNNNNNNNNNNNNNNNNNNNNNNNNNNNNNNNNNNNNNNNNNNNNNNNNNNNNNNGCAUACUCUUAUGAUUAGUGAAAACAUCAACAUGGACACCAUAUAAAUAGUGUCUCUAGAUUUUCAAAGAAAACACAACAGCAGCCAACUCAAGGUCAUGGGUGGGGUAAUUUUUCUCAUAGGGUUUCAACUGUCUAGAAAGCAUAAGCUAUCACCUUACCCUUCUGCAUCAAUACGUAACCUAACCCAACUCUCAAAGCAUUACAGUACACCACAAAACCAUCAACACCAUCAGGCAAAGUCAAAACAGGGGCUGAAGUGAGUCGAGUCUUCAACUCCUGAAAACUCUUCUCAUAAGAUUCGGACCACAAGAACUUCACUUUCUUUUGGGUCAACCGAGUCAUAGGAGACGCUAUAGAGGAGAAACCCUCAACAAAACAGCGGUAAUAGCCAGCUAAAUCCAAGAAACUUUGGAUAUCAGUCGGAGAAAUAGGUCUAGGCCAAUUUAUAAUAGCUUCGGUCUUUUGGGGAUCAACUCUAAUACCCUCGAAAGAAAUGAUAUGACCCAGAAAAGCAACUGACCUUAGCCAAAACUCACACUUACUGAACUUGGCAAAUAACUUGUGAUCUCUAAGGGUUUGUAAGACAAUUCGAAGAUGAUCAGAAUGUUCAUCCUUACUAUGGGAGUACAUUAGUAUAUCAUUAAUGAACACUAUGACAAACAUAUCCAGAUAUGAUCUGAACACUCGAUUCAUGAAGUCCAUGAAAGAUACUAGGGCAUUAGUUGACCUAAAAGACAUAAUAAGAAACUCAAAAUGGCAAUAAUGAGUUUGGAAAGCGAUUUUUGGGAUGUCACACUCCCUAACUUUGAGUUGAUAAUAGCCAGAAUGAAGGUCUAUCUUUGAGAAAUAACUUAUACCUUGCAAUUCAUCAAAUAAAUCAUCUAUUCUCGGAAGAGGGUACUUAUUUUUGAUGGUGACUUUAUUCAGUUGGCAGUAAUCAAUGCACAUUCGCAAAGAGCCAUCUUUCAUUCUCACAAAAAACACAGGCGCACCCCAAGGAGAAACUCUAGGCCUUAUGAAACCCUUAUCUAGUAGAUAUUUGAGUUGCUCUUUCAACUCCUUAAGUUCUGCAGGGGCCAUAUGGUAAGGAGGAAUAAAAAUGGGCUGAGUAUCGGGAAGAAGAUCAAUCCUGAACUCUAUCUCUCUAACAGGAGGUAUCCCUAGGAGAUUAUCCGAAAAGACAUCAGAAAACUCAUUAAUGACGUUAACAGACUGGAGAGUUGGAGUCUCAGACUUAGUGUCUUUAACUUUAACCAAAUGGUAAAUACACCCCUUGGAAAAAGCUUUCUAGCUUUAAGGUAAGAGAUAAAAUAACUCUUGAGUGACACAGAAUUCCUAGACCACUCAAACACGGAUGCACCCGAAAAAUAAAAGUUGACCAUUUGUGUCCGACAAUCAAUAGAGGUAUAAGAAGAAUACAGCUAGUCCAUACCCAAAAUCACAUCAAUCGACCAUGUCUAACUCAAUCAAAUCAGCCAACAAUACUCAAUAAAGUACGGUAACAGGACACUUUUUAUACACUUUUUGGGCAACAAUAAAAUCACCCACUGGGGUAGAAACUAGGAUAGGCUCAGGAAUAAUCUCAGGACUCAUUUCAAAAUUCAUAGUAAUCAAAGGUGUAACAUAUGAGAAACUGGAUCCAGGAUCCAACAAAGCAUACACAUCAAACUAAAAUAUACAAAGCAUACUAGUAACAACAUCGGGAGAGUCCUCCUACUUUUGGCGGGAUGGUAAAGCAUAGAAUCUAUUCUGGCGCUGCCCGCCAGCAUUGCUAGAAGAGGCGUCCUGAGCUGGGGCUGGGCGAGUCCCUGGAACUGGAGUACUAAUAGUCUGAGUCUGGGUCUGAGAGCGAUAGUCACGACUCCUUUGUCUAUCCUGUAGACAUUCUCUAACUCUGUGACCCAUGUCACCACACCAAAAACAACCCCUCUUCUCACCCCAACACUCAACCGAAUGAGCCCUACCACACUUAGGACACAGGGGAUGAUUUGGCUUACUGCCAGUACUGUACGGGAGCACUAGCAGAUGACGGUGUUGGCAUAGAUGAACGAUCUUGAUACUGAGGGAGACUCCCUCCCUGUGAUCUAGUCUAACCCUGUCUGUGCUACUCGGACCUAGCUCUCUUAUUUCCUUUCAUUCUCUCUCUCUCCUUAAUCUUCUUUGCCUCAAUCUAUUGGGCAUGCGUCAUCAUCCUAAUAAAAUUCAUCUCACUAUUCAGCAUAGCAGACCUACACUCCUUAACCACAUAACUAGACACUCCAAUCACAAACUUACUCAUACUAGCCCGAUUAUCAGCCACUAAGUCAGGAGCAUACUUGGCCAACUGAUUGAACUUUAAAAAGUACUCCCUAACAGUCAUAGAGCCAUAUCGCAGGUUCAUAGACUCUUCCACCUUCUCCUCCCUCAUCUCGAAAGGGAAAAACUUAUCCAGGAACAUGAGUCACCCAACCAUAUGAUAUAUGACCAUGUGGAGAUCGUAGUACCCCUUGAUACGUUGAUUGUUAAUAUACUACAUAUAUCCAAGAGGAAGUUGUUGCACCUGCAGUUGUGAUUAUUGAGAAUAUAUAAUAUAUGUUCUUGAGGAGGUGAUUCAGUCACAUGUACUAUCUCCUACUAAUGUUGUUGCAGUCGAUUGUCAAUGUAGGGAAUAUGAUUGUAAUGAGGUCUUUGAGUCAUCUGGAACUUCUCUUGCGGUUGUUGUUGGUGCAAGAG